GAUGAAGAACGUAGCGAAAUGCGAUAAGUAAUGUGAAUUGCAGAAUUCAGUGAAUCAUCGAAUCUUUGAACGCACAUUGCGCCCGUCAGUAUUCUGGCGGGCAUGCCUGUUCGAGCGUCAUUACGCCCCUCAAGUCCCCUGUGGACUUGGUGUUGGGGAUCGGCGAGGCUGGUUUUCCAGCACAGCCGUCCCUUAAAUUAAUUGGCGGUCUCGCCGUGGCCCUCCUCUGCGCAGUAGUAAAACACUCGCAACAGGAGCCCGGCGCGGUCCACUGCCGUAAAAUCCCCCAACUUUUUAUAGUUGACCUCGAAUCAGGUAGGACUACCCGCUGAACUUAAGCAUAUCAUAAGCGGAGGA
rnacentral:misc_RNA from 1 species